GUCUACAGCCAUACUACCCUGAAUANGCCCAAUUUUGUCUGCUCUCAGAAGCUAAGCAGGGUUGGGCCUGAUUAGUACUUGGAUGGGAGAAAGGUGCAGGCAAUGGAGGCA
rnacentral:rRNA from 1 species